AGAGUUUGAUCCUGGCUCAGAUUGAACGCUGGCGGAAUGCUUUACACAUGCAAGUCGAACGGCAGCACGGGGGCAACCCUGGUGGCGAGUGGCGAACGGGUGAGUAAUACAUCGGAACGUGCCCAGUCGUGGGGGAUAACGUAGCGAAAGCUACGCUAAUACCGCAUACGAUCUACGGAUGAAAGCGGGGGAUCGCAAGACCUCGCGCGAUUGGAGCGGCCGAUGGCAGAUUAGGUAGUUGGUGGGGUAAAGGCUCACCAAGCCUGCGAUCUGUAGCUGGUCUGAGAGGACGACCAGCCACACUGGGACUGAGACACGGCCCAGACUCCUACGGGAGGCAGCAGUGGGGAAUUUUGGACAAUGGGCGCAAGCCUGAUCCAGCCAUUCCGCGUGCAGGAUGAAGGCCUUCGGGUUGUAAACUGCUUUUGUACGGAGCGAAAAGGUC
rnacentral:rRNA from 1 species